UACGUAGGUGGCAAGCGUUAAUCGGAAUUACUGGGCGUAAAGCGUGCGCAGGCGGUUCUAUAAGACAGAUGUGAAAUCCCCGGGCUCAACCUGGGAACUGCAUUUGUGACUGUAGAGCUGGAGUGCGGCAGAGGGGGAUGGAAUUCCGCGUGUAGCAGUGAAAUGCGUAGAUAUGCGGAGGAACACCGAUGGCGAAGGCAAUCCCCUGGGCCUGCACUGACGCUCAUGCACGAAAGCGUGGGGAUCAAACAGG
rnacentral:rRNA from 1 species